rnacentral:rRNA from 1 species
GAUGAACGCUGGCGGCGUGCCUAAUACAUGCAAGUCGAGCGAACAGACGAGGAGCUUGCUCCUCUGACGUUAGCGGCGGACGGGUGAGUAACACGUGGAUAACCUACCUAUCAGACUGGGAUAACUUCGGGAAACCGGAGCUAAUACAGGAUAAUCUAUUGCACCGUAUGGUUCAAUAGUGAAAGACGGUUUUGCUGUCACUUAUCGAUGGAUCCGCGCUGCAUUAGCUAGUUGGUAAGGUAACGGCGUAUCAAGGCAACGAUGCGUAUCCGACCGGAGGGGCUGAUCGCCGACACGGGAACGUGUACACGGUCAUGAGGCCUACGGGAGGGAGCAGUAGGGAACCUGCGGCAGUGGGCGAAAGCCUUACGGAGCGGCGCGGCGUCAGUGAUGAAGGUCUUGCGAGCGUAAAACUCUGUUAUUAGUGAUGAACAAAUGUGUAAGUAACUAUGCACGGCUUGACGGUACCGGGUCAGAAAGCCACGGCUAACUACGUG